UGGGUGUGGGUGUCUGCCUGUAUCGGUGUGGCAGGAGGGUUGUGCAUGUGUCUGCCUGUGUCGGAGUGGCAGGAGGGUUGUGCGUGUGUCUGUCUGUGUCAGAGUGGCAGGAGGGUUGUGCGUGUGUCUGCCUUUGUCAGAGUGGCAGGGUCAGGGGUAUGCCUGUCUGUAUCGGAGUGAGGGGCAACGGUGUCUCCCUCAACGUGUCGGAGUGGGCGUGUGUGUGUGUCUAUCUGUGUCGCAGUGGGGCGUUGGGGCGUAUGUGUGGGAGGGUGUGUCUGGCCGUGUCGGAGUGUAUGGACGUUUGUGUGCCUGUGUUCGAGUGGAGGGGUGUCUGUGUCUGCUUAUGUUGGAAUAUGUCUGUGUGCGAGUGUCUGUGUCUGUCUAUUGGAAUGGGCUGGGAAUGUGUGUUUGUCUGUCUCUGUUGGACUGGGGGUCGAGCGUCUAUGUCUGUCUCUGUUGGAGAAGGGGGACAAUGUGUGUCUCUGUGUGCAUGGGUGGCCGUGGCGCAGGUGUGGCUGGCGAUGCAGUUUGCAGCAUCUUGCACCUCAGCACCAAUCCCAUAUCCUUUUCUGAGUUUUCCAGUUUCCAGUGUACCUUGAGCAGGAAAGUGAGAGUGGAGUCUUGGCGGAUCAGGGGUAAAUGUAAUUUUCCGCUUGGGCAUGGUUAGGUUUCAUCUGCGGUGUUUAAUAUACACAACAUUCAGCCAAUCAGUGUUAGGUGUCAAAGUAUUCGCGCCCUUCAAAAAUAAACUCAACAAGAGGGAGAAAAUAAUAACUAAGCACCACUCUAGGAAUGACCGCUGCCAGUUGGAUCUAAUCAAAGCUAUCACGGAGAUUGCUGUUAAUUUAACAACAGGAAUGGCAGUCAUCACUGUGUAAAUCAGAUGCACUGCAGAGAUUCACCAAAGAUUCUCAGACUGCACCUUCCAAACCCAUGACCAUUUCCGUAAGGGCAGCAAAUACAUGGGAACGCCACUACCUAAACCAAUUUAAAGUAGCCGGUUUCCUACAAGGUUCCUCAACAUACUUGUCUGAAAAAACAGUCUUAUACACACUUCAGGAGGUCACCUGCCACGUUGUUGUAUUUUGAAGGUGUGCAAAUCCUGUUUUUGGGAAGCUUCUAGUUGGGAAUGGAAAAUAUGGAUAAAUCUUGCCUUUUCAAAUCUCCUUGCGAGCAGGAAAGUAAAAAGAAACAAUCAGGUAUGAGCUGACUGAAUUGUGUGAAGUGGGAUUUAGUCAAAUUUAUCUCUCUAGUUCUGAAGACACUCAAGCUAGAGAAGACUGUGAUAUGUAAGUUAUGUAAUCCUGUACAAUCUAACUUUGAAGUUGUCAGCUGUGGUUCCAUUAGCACUCUUAUCUCAGAAUUUAGUUGUUUCAAAUUUCUUUCAUGCAUUUGAGCACAAAAUUAUAGGCCAGUUCUGCAUUGUUGGAGGUGCUUAAUUGAUGUCUUAUCGAUGCUCUCAGGUGGAUCUAAAAGACCCCAUUUCAUUGCACAUCUUCAGCAUCGAGCACUUAACCCUGCUGUCCUGGCCAGUAUUUGCCCCUCAUCAGUAUUGCAAUGCUGUCUGAGAGCUUUUCAGUGUUCAAAUUGACUACUGCAGUAGCUACACUUCUUAAAACAGACAGCUGGGAGUAAAUUGUUUUUUGGAUGUUCUGACAUGGUUAAAAUGUUCUACGUAAAUGAAAGCUGUUCUAUUUAGAAGUCAUUUUCAAAUUCUUACUAAAAUUGUGAUAAAACUGAGCUUUUAGUUUUUCUAUGGCUGAAAUCAACUCACUAAAGCAGUUUCCAAAGUAGGUCGAGAAUUAUUUGGUUAAAAAUCACACAA